rnacentral:rRNA from 1 species
AGUGAACGCUGGCGGUAGGCCUAACACAUGCAAGUCGAACGGCAGCACAGUAAGAGCUUGCUCUUACGGGUGGCGAGUGGCGGACGGGUGAGGAAUACAUCGGAAUCUACUUUUUCGUGGGGGAUAACGUAGGGAAACUUACGCUAAUACCGCAUACGACCUACGGGUGAAAGCAGGGGAUCUUCGGACCUUGCGCGAUUGAAUGAGCCGAUGUCGGAUUAGCUAGUUGGCGGGGUAAAGGCCCACCAAGGCGACGAUCCGUAGCUGGUCUGAGAGGAUGAUCAGCCACAGUGGAACUGAAGCACGGUACAGACUCCUACGGGAGGCAGCGGUGGGGAAUAUUGGGCAGUGGGCGCAAGCUUGAUCCAGCCAUACCGCGUAUGUGAAGAAGGCCUUCGGGUUGUAAAGCCCUUUUGUUGGGAAAGAAAAGCAGCAGGUUAAUACGCCGCUGUUCUGACGGUACCCAAAGAAUAAGCACCGGCUAACUUCGUG